rnacentral:lncRNA from 1 species
AACAGAGGAGAUGCUGCCGAAUUUUCGUUAGAAAUUAUAUGGAUUUAAUGCCUAUAAAAAGGGUUGUUUGUACAACUAUGUGCUAUGUGUUUAUGUGACUGUGGUAUGUAUAUGCGAAGGGUAGAUAUAUAUAUAGGUCUUAAUGCAAUUCAGGGUUAGUCAAUAUGUCUAAUCCGACGACUGAAAUACUAUUUUAUCAUCGUAUAGAAUUGAAGACAUUGACCGAGGCAUUAAUCGAGAAGUGAUUGAAAGGGGUAUUCAGAAAUAGCCAAGCAGAAUGUUACAAGUUGAAGUAGGACGGAGAUUUGUUAUAGAUAAAAGUGUGUCAGAAGCUGGCAGAAAGGAAUGAUUAUGCGGUAUAUAGUGUUACUAGGAAUCUGAGCUAAACUUUGGAGUUAAGGCAAGUACUUCUACCUUCUCUCGCAAUUUAGAAGCAAGUAUUUCUACCCUACUCCUCUAGUACCUAUAGAUACUAAAACCUUCUUUAUAUCAUGAUUCAAAUUAUUUGCAAUUACUUUCUUGUGAAGCAUAUCUAGUACUUUUAAACUUUUUGGUUGAACGGAUAACACUUUUGGUAUCAACUCUACACUAUGAUAUGCAUAAAGAAAUUGUUUUAACAAAAUGUUAUUCUGGCUCUUGAAUUACAUGAUGGAACUGCAGAUUGUUUUAAAAAUUAAACUAUUGGGUUGUUUUUGCGUAAGAGGCUCGGGCACCGGCCCAGCGUGAAAGGUGGCUCCUUAAGCCCGGAUUACCGGAAUUCGUAAUAUUUGUCAACCUUGCUGAAUAAGCUUGGUUUAUGGACUAUAGCAUGACUGAUCAUCUGUUAUAGCCAGGUGUCCAAUUAUUUUUAAAGCCCAAUAAAAUUGUGAAUAGUUUAAAAAGAAGUUACCCUGCCUUCAAGAGAUAUUUGCUUAUACAUUCAUUUCUGCAGUUUUAAAUAUUUUCACUUCUUUAUUAUGGCAUUGCUGUACAACAAAUAUCAAUUUCAUUUUGUUAUUCUUGCUGAGCAUUAUUGCUCAUUCUUGCUAUUCCUUCUAACCCUUUUCAGCUAGGAAUAAAGAUGAUUCACUUAAGACUAGGCAAGGAUUGCAAGUGGUUGAGUUUCAAGCAGAUGGACAGGUAGAGUAUUUAGGAUGAUGUCAUUAAGACUAGAUGCAGUUGGAGUUCUGCAAUUCAAUUCAGUUGGAAAUUAGAUUUGUUUAUUUGGUUAUCAGCUACUCUUCUUAUCGAGGUUUAGCUGAUAAUGUUGUUUAAUUUGUAAAUAAGAUUUUAUAGUUUUAGUUUCUGAUUUCAAUGCUGUAGCCUGUGUGCGAUCCUGUUUUCAGGGGGUGAAAUUGAUUUUGAAUUAAAGACCUUCUUUUAAAAAAA